AGAAUCAACGCUGGCGGCGUGCCUAACACAUGCAAGUCGAACGAGAAAGUGGAGCAAUCCAUGAGUAAAGUGGCGCACGGGUGAGUAACACGUGACUAACCUACCCUUGAGUGGGGAAUAACUUCGGGAAACCGAGGCUAAUACCGCAUAACACCUACGGGUCAAAGGAGCAAUUCGCUUAAGGAGGGGGUCGCGGCAGAUUAGUUAGUUGGCAGGGUAAUGGCCUACCAAGACGGUGAUCUGUAUCCGGCCUGAGAGGGCGCACGGACACACUGGAACUGAAACACGGUCCAGACUCCUACGGGAGGCAGCAGUGGGGAAUUUGCGCAAUGGGGGAAACCCUGACGCAGCAACGCCGCGUGGAGGAUGAAGUCCCUUGGGACGUAAACUCCUUUCGAUCGGGACGAUUAUGACGGUACCGGAAGAAGAAGCCCCGGCUAACUUCGCGCCAGCAGCCGC
rnacentral:rRNA from 1 species